GUUUUAUAUUCUCGUGGUGAAAGUAAUAUUUUAUUUGGUACGCUUAGGCCAGGGUCAAACAUCGAACUUUUCAUGUGCCCAACCUAAUGUUAAUUAAUGAGCUAAGUUCUUUGUUUCACUUCAUUUGCAUUAGGUUCGGCGCAUGAAAAGUUCCACGUUUGACCGUGGCCUCAUUCAUGCAUAAAGUAUCAUUUGCACUACUCGAAAUCAAAGACCAUAUCUUAAUUCACGCAGCCUUGUAUCCCGUAUGUAUAAUUGUUUCAUCCGUUUUUCAAGUGCCUGAUGCAGCUAUGGUAGAAGACAGCUCGAACUUUAGAAGGCCAAAUGAAACCUCAAGUGAAGCUUCAAGCUCAGGUAAUUGUUUGGUUACGGUCAGACUUUGACUAUACAUUGGUUUGCAAUUUACGUUUCCGAUUUUACAAGUUGUUACAAGUCUGUUCACAAGCUGUCAACAAGUUGUGUUCGCACUGCUUGUUCCCAGUUUGUUGUAACAAGUUUGGAACAAGCUGUUAACAACUUGUAACAAGCUUGAAGGCAUUAUCAGCCUUGUUACAAGACUGUGCUAACAAGUUUGUUACAGCCAUGAUACAACAAGGAUGUUACAAGGUUGUCAACACAAGGUUGUAACAAUCUUGUUAUAUCAAGCAUGUAACGGACUUGUCAGAACAACCUUGCAACAAGUCUGAUAAUUUCGACACGGUUGUUACAAGUUGUCAACAAGUUGUUCCAAACUUGUUGUUCCAAACUUGUUGACGGCUUGUUGGCAGACUUGUUACAAGAUGCGAGAUUUUUACGUGUGUAUCUUUAAAUAAAUUUCUUGACCCCCCACGCGACGUCACAUGCAAUCCAAGAAUACAACGAUAAAUCAUCGUUGUUAAUUGUACUAAAACUUUGUACAACGAGUUGCCUUUGUAAUUUGUAUCAUCAUGUUUUGUGAAGGCAAUGAUCGUAUAGCACCACCACCAGAACUCAAUAUCACACUCCCGACAGCGAGGGAUUUUGAUAGCAAACCAUAUGACUGUUCAAGCAAUGAGAUUCAGUCACAA
rnacentral:lncRNA from 1 species